UUAAACUGUAUCUAUUUCAUUUUACCUAUAAUUCUAAUUCAAUUUACACCCUUCUCUUUCACUGGAAUACAAAUCUGAAAGACCAUCAUUGAAGGGCCAGGGUUAUCCAUGAAAGACGUAAAAUUGAAUUUGAAUAACAUUUGUUUUGAUAAAGAUGAUCCAAAGUUGAAUGAGGAAGUGCGAUUCUUCACAAUUUGUUGCUCCCUUUGAAAACUUCUUGGUCUGAUAAUAAUUCGGGACUAUGGAUCACAAAAGUAUAAAUAUUUUUUAUGGAGGUAUGAUGUGGUUGAUGAACGCUCUAAGUUCAUCAUUCAUAAAUUGGUGCAGAAAAUGAAGAACAUGAAUGAACUAUUAGUUGCAAAUGUAAAGAAAAUGAAAGAUAUGGAAGAAAUCAAUGGCUUUAAUGAUAGACAAAUUACAGAGAUGGGAGCUCAAUCUAUCUUUACCCUAUUGAAGGAACAAUCUAGUUUGAAAGAGAUGGAUAUGGAGUGCUUUCAGACUGUGAAGAGGUAGACAAACUGAUGAGGUGAAGAAGAAACGGAGUAGCUACUUUAGCCUUAAUAGGAUGUUCAUCUUGUGUCUCUUAUGUUGCUGUUUGGAUCAAAAUAGGUAGUUGAUGUUGUUGUUUAGAUCAUAAUAGGUGGUUGAUGUUGCUGUUUGGAUCAUAAUAGGUGGUUGAAGGAUCUCCUUAUAUUAUCGUAGGUUGUCGUUUGAAUCAAAAUAACUAGUUGAAGAUUUCUUUCGGUUGAUGCAAGUUUCAAAGUGUUCAUGUUUGCUAGUAUGUAUGAUGUAUGUAUGGUUAAAGUCAAUGAACUUACUUUGUAUUGGAUGCAA